AAUAGGUGAAAAGAAAAUGACCAGUGCCUAAAAUUGCUUCGCCAUAAACGCAUCAUAUUUAAUGAAUUCCAAUGCCUUGUCGAAAUGUGUAGCCUUGACAUCCAGAUACUCUUUCCAUGUCACUGGCCGAUACAUGUUCGGAUGAUCAAAGUCGAUAAGCUUCAUUAAUGGUGAUAUCUUCACAUCCCUCGGUGGGCCAUAAAAAUAAGCAAUUGACAUUCUGUGACGAGUGUUGUUCACUAAAGCUCGAUGAAGUGCGCUUUUGAACCUGCCAUUGGUGAUAAUGUGCAUCAAAUCACCAACAUUAACGACGAGUGCACCGUCGACUGGGUGCACCGGCACCCACCCAAUGCCGUCCCGAAGGACUUGGAGGCCAGUGGCAUUGCUUUGGUGUAGCACAGUGAGCAAAGAUGAAUCAGUAUGAGGAGGCAAGCCCAUGGCUCGGCCUGGAUCAGGACACACUGGGUAUGAGUUCAAUUGAAGCACAUCUUGGUGGUGGU
rnacentral:misc_RNA from 1 species